AGCGCCGUCCGCUUCGCCUCCCUCCGUCCCGCGCUUUGAGGAUGGCGCUCCGAUCUCCAGCGGACGCGUGUCCGCGAGGCACCAGCAUCGUUCGCUGCGCAUCCCUCCAUCCCGCUCUUCGCGUUUGGCGCUCCGAUCUCCAGCGUGUCCGCCCUACUCCUCCUCGGUCGCCCUGCGCUGCCGCCGCCGCUCGCCCUCCUCCUUUCCUCGGCUCGGUCUCCCUGCGCCCCUCCUCCAUCUCCACCUCACGUCCUCGCCUACGCAAGCCGCUGCACGCGAGGGAGCCCCCAAGAGGGUUGCCGAUCCAGCCCCAGCUGCGCUGACGAUGACACCCGCGCCGGCGGGGACGGACACCUUUGUCGCUGGCGGUCCAAGCCUGGUCACGCCGAUCUGUUUCUACGGCAUGCUGCUUCUUGCUGCUCCUCCCCGACAUCAUCUUCUUCUCUACCAGAGGCCCCCUCCGCUCCUGUGCCGAAGACCAUGGCAUCGCUGCUUGAAGGAUUGCUUCCAGCCUUCCAGGAGAUUGAUGAAAGAGGCUCUGGAAUCGAAAGAUAUAGGUGGCGGUGCAGAAUCUGAAGGAGGAGGUGGCGGUUUUUCCUGUGUGGUGGCAGUGGCUUAGGACCGUCAUCACGGCAGAGCGAGGCCAUCAUCAAGGUGCAGAGGAGCAUCACAGUCCUCACAGGGCCAUCAUACAGCAGGCAGGCAUAAGCAUCUUUUGAUUCAGCGGGCAUUGGCAACACCGGCAUAUAGGUCUGCUACGUCCUUGCAUACCUGUUGGUGACAGUGCGCCGUUGGUCAUGGCUCAUGGCGCAUCUGCAGCGAGCCAAGUCUAAUUGAGCCAGGUUUUAUAGUGUGAAAGGUAAAAUCAAGAAUUUCUUAAUUUGUAGGACUGUAAUCAUAGGUAAAAUCAAGAACUUCUCGCUGUUCAUGAAGCAACGCUUAAGGUUCCAGGAUCAUUUAUUAUCAUAGUUUUAUGAAAUUUAACACAAUCAAUACCUUCCCUCUCCUGUUUACUAGAGCAUCUAACAACACAAGCUUAUGUUAUUUCACAUUGUCACAUUGCAAUUAACAAAUGCUAACUUCGAUAAGGUAGUUGAGCUGGCAAAGCAGCUCCAGGUUUUUCUUUGUUGUUGACUCUGGUUUUGCCUGGUUCAUGUUUGGGAAUUAGGGCUGUUUGCAAGUCCUGUUACAUGAUUUUUAGUCAAUACAUAUUGGUGAUUCUUAAUCACUCCCUUUUAUCUUGUCGGUGAAUUUAGCUUUAGGACAGAGCUUAUUACAUUACAUUGUGAAAGCAUAUGUUUUACCUUUACUCCUUACAUGGAUCAAGAUUAUUUCAACUAAAAUUUGAGCCAAUUCAGUUAUACUACCUGCGGAAAUAUAGGUCACAUGACAGGUUGCAAUUAAGUAAACAUAUUGCGUACAAUUUGGACAUUUAAACUACUAGCAGAAAUAGUCAUUUCACUCUGUUUAAAAACAUAGAAGGGGAAGGGAGUCCUUUCUAUGGUAAGUCAGCAUGGAGUACAAUUUUGAUAAAAAAAAAUUCUUGGGAGGUUGGCAGGGGUGAGCAAGUGUUUUGUACUUCAGUGUCCAGAGCUUGUGUCAUUUCUUUUUCUACCCCUGUUUACAGGGCUUGUAAUUUGACUUUCUUUGUCCUGCUUAAUAGAAUGACAAGUAGUUAGACUUAAAUUUAAAUUUCUGUACUUUGAUGCCCCUGAAGCUUGCUGUUUUUAAUUUCUUAACCUACACCUUCUGGCAUGUAAACCAUUCAAGGUAUCCAGUUUGAGACCAACUAUGAAGCUGGUCUUCUCUCCAGGCUGAUAAUUGCUUACUGUCUUGUAGGAGCCAGAGGGCCAGAGAAGUUCUACAAGUCAGUAUUACAUAUUAAUAGUAUACUAUCGUAUAAACUUGAGCAAUUCCAAAUUCAAAUUAUGCUCUAAUGUUAAAUCUGCUAUCUGGAUGCCUUAUUUUCUCAUAAUGCAGACCAUAAAUAGCAAGAAUUUUGAAUUUUAGAGAUAGGGGAUUGCAGCAUCCAAGAUAUAGGUAAUUUUCUAAAAAACUAAUUGAGUAGAGAUAUUUUUGGGCAAACCAUAUGUUGCUCUUAAUUAGGUUAAUUUUCAACAGCUCAUGAGUGAAGGAAUUGACCCUAAUUUUUUCACAUAAAAUAUUGUGCUACAAUUUUUAUUCUUUAGUACUCCUGCCACAUUAUAUCAACACAAGAUUGGUACUCCUUUAUUUGUUCCCUCAGUAUCUGUGCGAAAAUAUCGCUUUAAUUCUGAAAUUUGCGUUUAGCAUCUUCUACCAUUGCUGUAGACUUUUAGUGACUGUUCUAGAUUUGCUUGUAGGAAGACAGUGUGCUUACCAUACAGAGUAGUGCUUGAUAUUUCAGGGUGAAGUGCAUUUCUCUGAUGGUUUUAUUUAUACCUAAUCAUAAGUUUUCCUUGUAGCUAAUUAUAGGUUGCAGGUUAUUUUGCUAAUUUCAGUAAUUUGCAACAUGCUGCCUUGGAGCAACUCUAAAUCUAAAGUAAACAAACUGAACCUAUGUUUCUAGGUUUCUUUUUUAUAAGAAUGUGUAUUGUAAAUUUACAAGAAACUAAUAUUUACCAAAACAUUUUGUAUUCUACCAAAAGUUUUGAGAAGCUACACAAUUUUCAUUUGAACCUGCAAGGUUUACAUAUAAUUAUUUUGUUUGUUUUCUCAUGGGAUGAUGACUUUAAUACUACAAAAGGCACGAUAUCUGUACUUGCCAAUUCUCUGCUACUGAUCAUUCUACUCUAUAUUAUUUCAUUCUUUUCUACGGACCAGGUGUACCAGCCGAGCUGUAUAACUCAUUGCUUGCUUGUGGUCUGCAAAUUGUAUUUCAUGCCAUUUUCUACUUCUUCUCUGCUGUUUUGAUUCUCUGAAAUGAUUGAAUGUGCACUAUUAUGGUCACUGUAUAUAGACGAUUGUGCUAAGAGAGCUGUUGUUUCAGCCUGACAGGAAAGAUGAGCUCACAAGGAUUGAGCCCACAUGAGGGAAGUCAUCACUGGGGUGGCCAAUGAGCUGGUAUACUUCAUUUUGUUUCAGCCUGAAUAGAUGAAAGCUUCAUUUUGUUUCAGUCUGAAUAGAUGAAAGCUUCAUUUUGUUUCAGCCUGACUAGAUGCUUUCUUCAGAUGUUGGACUGCCUUGCUGGCAUAUUUAUAGGCAGUGAUAACUUCUUAUUCAUAUUCUUUCAAACACCUAGGUGUUAAUUGAUCCUUCUGCCCACCUUCUCACAUGCUGAAGACUCUAGCUCUGCUCGCUUGAGCUAUUGCUGCGGCUGCAGCUGCAUCCUACCUAUACAAAAGUGCUGUAGCAUUGAACUAAAAGCGGCAGCAACAGCCCUGAAACAAACACGCUGUCUGAAUUGAAUCUGCAUUCCAAUAUUAUGAGUGCACUCCAUCUGAUUAUUUUGGAAAACUGUAACAAAUUACAGGUAAAGAUGACAAUAUUUACUUGUUUUUUUUUGUGGUUGUCUUUUGAAACUGUUAACUUUCUUUGUAGCUUUUUCCAGCUAUUAUUGAUGGAAGGUAAAGCCUAUGAUACGACAGUAUAUUGAUUGGUCCCAUAUUAUUUGCCUCUGCUUCCUUUUAUGUGUUCUAAUGUGGUCUAUACAUUAUUGUUUAGUACGGAUUGGUGAAAAAAAUGAAUACUCUUCAUAGCUUAUGCUACUGAUGAGAUAGGUAUAUAGAAGAUCAAUCAGUGCUAUUGUAGCAAUCCUACAUUUCUACUUCAGUACUUGAGUUAGCAGAAACCAUGUACAUGCAAAGGUGAAUACAAUUCUGUAGAGCAAGAUAAAAUUGCAGCAUGGGGAUGGUCGAAGGUGGCACUCAAGUGAUAAGUGUUUUAGUCUUAGUUUCCUUUGCAAAAUAAUUGUUUGUUAGCAUCAGAUGGCAGGCAUGCACUAAAAUGUUAUGAGUGCUUCGUGCCUUCUUACUCAAAGUCCUAUGCACUUAAUCUGAUAGUUCAAGGUUCGGAUAUGAGCCUCUUUAUGUGUUUUCAUAUUUGCUUUGACACUUAUGUAGAAUUGAUCCUUGUAGAAUUGAUUCUUGUGUAUCUCAAUACGGCUAAAAAAUAAUAAAUUGUUAGAAUUGUAUGAUAACAAAGCACUAUGUUUUUAUACUCUUGUUAGGAGUUUUUUGUUUAUUAAUAUACUUAUCGUCUUAUUGAAUACUCAAUGUAUUAUAAUAUAAUAAAUAUUUUGCCGCCCGUAGCAACGCACGGGCACGAUCCUAGUGAAGUCGUAAAACCAGCCAAACCAUGUCUUACAAUAUCUUGUUGAAAUAUUUGUUUCCUUUGCAAGUUUCAUAUGUGUCUAUUUCUACUGAGCUCUUGUUUGCAUUGUGAAGUGGAGCUCAAACAAAGAUGUCUUUUGAAAUUAGCGAUAAUCUAACCUCAAGAAACACAACUUAGGUAUUUUUUAUUUUACCUGCUUGAAAUGUGCAUUUACUGAUGUGUUUAUUCUUACCAAAUUUACGUGAUGAUCUUAGUGGAAUUGAUGUGGCUAGAAAGGUUAGAGGGAGGGGAAACAUAAAUGAGAUAAGAAACUAAUGAGGUGUGGGUGUAAUGCUGUGAACAGGAUGAAAAGGUGAUGGUACAUAUCAAGUUGCUCCGUUUGUUGAAGCACACACAUGAGCCUCGCAGCUGAUCAGGGUGGACAGAGGAUAGAGCAAGAUGCCAGGUUGCCAAUAUUAUUGUCGAAAUAUGGUACUUAGCACAAUCGUUAGCAAUGUAAGAGUAAUUUAUUGUGCCUUGUAAGAUUCACUAUUACCAUGUCAUGUAUACUUGACAACAGUAGUCAGAAUGGUGUACGAGCUUGAUUGUAUGCACACUGUAUGAUGCCCAAAUGUGUUAUCGCCGUGUGUAAUAUUAAUUUUCUAGUCUCUUGUGAACAAUAUUGCCCAUAUAUAUGAUUUACAAGAGAGUUGAUUUGA